AAUACCAAGGGAUAAAAGUGUGUCAUCCGUCUGAACUUGUUCAGAGACGGAUGACACACUUUGAGACCUGCCACGUUAUGAGCAUGUAAGAGGAGCGUAAGCUCCACGAUAUGCGAAUAGCGGGGGCGAAUUGCGAGAGUACGCAGUACUCCGGCUUCCAUU
rnacentral:sRNA from 1 species